GGUUAAAUAUAUUUGAUUAAGGAAUUUAUAAAGUUCUAAAAGGGUAUUUAAUGUAAAGUCUUGGCAAAAAUACAUGAGGACGUUUCAAUACGAAAUAUUGUAAGGAGAUCUAGAUCUGUGACCUGCAAGUUUCCUAGCGAGAAAACUCGAUUUAAAAUUCAAAUUAUAAUGCGAAUUGAAUCAUCUUAGUAGCAUUAAAAAAAAUCAAACGAGAAUUUGCAAGUAAUGGCGAAUGAACGCAAUUUAGCUUAGUUAAGAGUAACUUUAUGAAAAAAAUAAACUGAAAAAGGUAAAAGUCCUGUAAUUAAUUAUUCUUAACGUAUAUUAGAAGUAGUAUGAUUAAAUUUGUAUGAAAAAAGGAGAACCACCUUCUAAAGCUUAUAAUAAUUUUUGACCUAUAGUGAACGAGUAUCGUGAGAGAAAGAUUGUGAUGAUCCGUAAGGACUAUUAAAUAAUUGAAUAUCUAUAAAUAUUCGAAGUUAGUUAAAACCACGAAUUGCCUUUUGCAUAAUGAAUCAGCAAGUUGAUUUAAGUUGCAAGUUUAUUUAGUAAUAAUUAAACUACAAGUAACAUAGAUUAAACCUGAAACCAAGUGAUCGAAUCUUAAACAGGUUGAAAAUUUAUUAAAUUAAUUUGGAAGACCGUACUCACAUAUGUAGCAAAAUAUGGAGAUGAUUUAAGAUUAGAGAUGAAAGAUCAAUCAAACUUGGAAAUAGCCGGUUUUUCACGAAACGUAUUUAAGUACUACGCAAUUGUAGUAAAUUGUAUUUAGAGUUACCAAAUAAAAAAAGGGGUGUAAAAACUUACUGAAUUUAUUAUAACUCCGAAAUACAAUUUAAUAACAAUUGCAGACAGUCUAUGGGCGAUAAGGUUCAUAGACAAAAGGAAAACAAUCCAGACCAUUUAUUAAGAUCUUUAAAUUAUAAUUUAGGGACAAAAAUUUCUAGAGCAGCAAAUAAUUUGGAUAAGCUUAGAAGCAGCUUUUCAUUAGAGAAAGCGUUUUAGCUCAUUAUUAUUUUGUUUUAGAAAUUUAAAAUGAAGGAGACUAUAAAUUAUAUAUCGAUGUAAUGGAUCAAAUGUUAAAAUUUGAUGGUAGUGAAACAUUCUGUAAUUUUAAUAUUUUGAAAAAAAUUUAAAUGAUUUCAGAAAAGCAAAUGCUGAUAUGAGUAGCGAAAACUACGUUGAAUCGUAGUCAUUUUAUGUUUAAGGGUUUUAAUGAAAGUUCAAAAACAUUAAGUUAGUCGGUCCUUAAGAAGGAGGUGAAAGCUAAAUUUAACAGGAAUUUAAUUUUUAAAACCAUUUAUAUGCAGUUAAUGUGAAAAAAGUUAUUAAUUUAGUUAAUAUUAAGUGAAGUAAAUAAAUAAGUUUUGACUAAUCGAGAAAAAAUUAUAAUUUAAGACCGUACUUAAUCCGACACAGGUAAAUUUAUUGAGAAAAUUAAAAUGAACGAAUAAAUUAUAUUGAAGGAACUAGGCAAAUUAACUCUGUAAGUUCGCGAUAAAGAGAAUCAAUUGUACAAAUUGAUAACAUAAAUAAAAAGCAACGACUGGUUACCAAAACCACAGGACUCUGCUAAUUUUUAAAAAGUAUAGAGUCUGAUGCCUGCCCAGUGCUUAAAAAAGAAAAAGAUGAGUCAAAAGCUCAGAUUUGAAUUCUAAGUAAACGGCGGUUCUAACUAUAAGAAUCCUUAGGUAGCGAAAUUCAUUGUCGGGUAAAUUCCGUCCUGCAUGAAUGGCUUAACGAUUGCUUUACUGUCUCCAAUAUAAAUUCGGCGAAAUUACAAUACCUGUGAAAAUGCAGGUUUCUUACAGUAAGACGGAAAGACCCUAGAUCCUUUACUCUAAUUUUAUAUUGUAAAUCUAUUUUUUUAGUAUAGCAUAAGUGGGAGUUAAACUCAAAUGAAAUACCACUCUAAGAAAAGAAAUUUACUUAUUCAACAAUAAUGCUGGAAACAGUAUAAAAAUGGGAGUUUACUUGGGACGAGUACCUCCUAAAAAAUAACGGAGGUGUACUAAGGUAAAUACAAAGCGUAAUGGUAAAAUUUGCUUGACAAUCAGAUUCAUAAAUCAAAUUGGGACGAAAGUCAGUCAUAGUGAUCCAAUAUUACAGUGUGGAAUUAAUAUUGCUCAACAGAUAAAAGGAACUCUAGGGAUAACAGAUUCAUCGUGAUUAAAAGUUCGUAUUGAAAUCACGGUUUGAUACCUCGAUGUCGACUCAUCUUAUCCUGAAAUUGAAGCAGAUUUCAAGGGUCUAGUUGUUCGCUAGUUAAAAAGGUACGUGAGUUGGGUUCAGAACGUCGUGAGACAGUUCGGUCCCUAUCUACUGUAAGUAUCGAAAAAUAGAAAAAAUAUUUCUAGUACGAGAGGAUCGAAAUAUAUUAACCUCUAGUGUAUUGAUUGUUGUUAUCUACAGCAAGUCUGAUAGCCAUGUUAAUUGAAUAUAAAUACUGAAUGCAUUAAAAGUAUGAAAAUAGCCUUCUUAUUUUUCAUGAAUAAUUUAAAAGAUAAUUAAAUAGAUCGGUUUUAAAAUAUAAGUUUAGUAAUAAAUUAAAAUUUAUAAAUACGAAUUUAUUCAGAACUUUAAACUAACUU
rnacentral:rRNA from 1 species